UACAGGGGGUGCAAACGUUGCUCGGAAUCAUUGGGCGUAAAGCGCGCGCAGGCGGUCCUUUAAGUCUGAUGUGAAAGCCCACGGCUCAACCGUGGAGGGUCAUUGGAAACUGGGGGACUUGAGUACAGAAGAGAAGAGUGGAAUUCCACGUGUAGCGGUGAAAUGCGUAGAGAUGUGGAGGAACACCAGUGGCGAAGGCGACUCUUUGGUCUGUAACUGACGCUGAGGCGCGAAAGCGUGGGGAGCGAACAGG
rnacentral:rRNA from 1 species